AACAAGAACACAGCAAAAAAGACCCACAGGCCCAGCUUUCCACGCAGAGAUUUACCACCAAGCUGGAGGACGCAGUGAAUGCAUGCAGGCUUCGAUGACAAGGCCAUUCUUUCUUUAUCUGCAGCUGUGGGUAGCUGGGCUCCGAUUGGCAGAGGAAUUGAGUUUGAGGUAGCACAAGCCCUGACUGGUGGAGAGGAGAGGGGAGCCUGGCUCUGAUUGGUAGGGGAGCUUGCAGUGUGCAAGGCCUUAACUGGUGGGGAGGAGCGGGGAGUCAGGCUCUGAUUGGCUGGGGAGUUGGGGAGGAUGCCGUGGUGCAAGCUUUGAUUGGUGGAGAAGAGAGGGGAGUCAAGCUCUGAUUGGCAGGGAGUUCUACGGAUGCAAGCCAGGUUCGCCUGUGUGCCUCGGGGUGAGAAUUCUGUCUGUUCCAAGCCUCUUCUUUCCUGUUCUCCAUCCCUCCAGCAGGGGUCCACCUUGGAAGCUGGCUGGGUGCCAGUGCCUCCCCACCUCAGAAGGGUGCUGCAGAACCCUCCACUGCCCUGGGGUCAGCCCUCCCAAGGGUGGUUAAUGUAAGGAAGGCGGGCUCCAGGACGCUGGCCCUGCACUUUGUUCAAGGGCGAGGGUCCAGCUCGCCCCCAGUGAUCAACCACAGCCGUCCGAGGCCACUCAGUGACUGCAGGAAAGAUGACAUACAUUAAAAUGGCAAGUCAGUUCUGUUGGCACCUUAUCAGAAAAUAUGAAAAAUAAGCGCACCACUUCCUCAUCGCCAUCUGUAGAUCUAGAAACGUUGUGAGGAAGACGACAGACCCUCUCUCCAGCGCCUGGCUCCCCCUUGGUUCAGCGGACUUUUGGAAUACGCAGCAGUAAUUCAUGUCAGCAAUUCCCAGCCGCAGCUCGCAGUCCCUCCUCCAUCGGGCCAUGUGCUUCCAAGAGGCCUUAGCUCAGAUUGGUGUCCCCACAAAGCAUUCCUCCUUGUAACUAUGUGAGGCAAGAGCUGAAAUCUCUGAUAGGCAUCCAGGAAUUGAAAACUGGAGUUUCUCUCCUAUUGAGAUUUUCUGAGGCUCCUGACUUGUCCCGAUUUGUCCUUACUGGAAUAAGAAAAAUUUUCUUUUCAUUUUUACCAUAGUAUUCCACAGAAGAACCAAAAUAUCCUAUUGAAAAUAAUGUAGGGGAAAAGCAAUGCCAUUAGAAAUGGACCUGGUAUGGUUAAGGAGGGGCGGACAAGGAGGGGUCCACAUCCCAUAAGCCACUCCAGAACUAACACGGUCGGGGACUGUGCAUUCCGCUCGUGUAGCUAAGACAGCACUGGCGUGUGACGUCACAGAAAGGUUGCUGUGGAAGGCUCCCCAGGAGAACUGCCUGUGGGCCUCCUGGGUAGGGAAAUGCAGGCGCUGGGCAAAGUCCUGGUGGCUAUGUGAACACGUUCUGUACCAAGGCUUUUGCAAACGGGUAUCUCUCAUCUCUCCCCAGACCUUCUCUCUCAGCUAUCUUAAAACCAGGAGUAAAACACAAUUGCGUGAAUUUGGAUCAUUCAGUGUGAUGGGCACUACAGGACAAACAGAUCCCCAAUUGGAAGAAUUUUCACUUCAGACCCGAGUCACCGCAGAUGCAUAGAAAUCCAGAAAUGGGGGCUGAAUGCUGCUCCGCAGAGCUCCUUGUGUCUAUCCUCUCUGCUUCUCUCACCAUGAUGAGCCUCUCCCUCUGGUCCUCAGCGACUGUACCACACUGUGGCACUGAUAGGAUUCCAAGAUUCAGCAAGAAAAAUAUAGGAUGCCGAGUUAAAUUUGAAUUUCAGAUAAACAAGUAAUUUUUUAGUGUGUCUCAACCGGACAUGCUGUCUUUUAUCUGGCAUCCCUUUUCACCGAGUGUAUACAUAGGAUCUGCUGGGGAAGCUCCCUGCCUUCCUACGGGAUUCCCC
ensembl:lncRNA